GCUCAGCUAGCUCAGUUGGUAGAACAUGGGACUCUUAAUCCCAGAGUCGUGGGUUUGAGCCCCAUGUUGGGUG